rnacentral:tRNA from 1 species
GUGGAUAUAAUCGGAUGGUCAAAAUUUUCUUUGCAAAGGAGAAGACGCGAGUUCAAAUCUUGUUAUUCGUC